rnacentral:rRNA from 1 species
UACGAAGGGGGCUAGCGUUGUUCGGAAUUACUGGGCGUAAAGAGCGCGUAGGCGGUAUAUCAAGUUGGAAGUGAAAUCCCAGGGCUUAACCCUGGAAAUGCUUUCAAAACUGGUAUACUAGAGAGCGAGUAGAGGAUGGUGGAAUUCCUAGUGAUAGAGGUGAAAUUCUUAGAUAUUGAGGAGGAACACCGGUGGCGAAGG